UGUCACGUCUACUCCUCUCCUCCGGCGCCCGACAUCGCCGGAAUACUAACCUCCAGUCCUGGGAGUCAUUAUUAUGCAGACCUGGCAUCCUUCAUUACACGCACCUGCAGAUCCUCAUGAUUCACACCUGGACUCCAUUACCUUCCUCAUUACCUCCCCUUUAUACAUCCCUCCCUUAUGUUCAUUCCUCAGUAGGUAUUGUUUCCUGCUUUCAUGCUGUCUCGCCACUGUUACGCUGUCUUGUUUCAUGUUUGUUGUUUAAUUAAAAGUUUCACCUGCACCUGCUUCUUGACUCAAGGCAUCAUCGUUACAAGGAUGAUGUGGGUUUGGUUACAGGAAGCAUUGAUUAUGUGAAGAAUCGGUAGGCAACGACCAAGAACCUCAAUGUGGUAAAAUGGGAAACAGGGGGAUGGCGCGUUCGACUUAACAAUAACAGUGACUGUUUUUGUUCUGUUGAUGAAUUCAUUUUUUCUUCUUUCCAUUAUUUGAGAAAACAGAUGGAGAGCAUGAAAGAACCGCAUGCUGUUUGAAAUAACAAGGGAGAGUAAUAUAUGGUGUCAGCGUCUGUCUCUACCUUAACGCUGUGUUCUGCUGAGAUGUGAGAGGUCGAGUUGACCCCACCAUGAAGAGGCCCAUGAGGAGGAACACCAGGUGGAGUCCUACUACACACAUCCCUGUGGAUAUUCCGGGUCAGGGAAUGGCAGCAUGGAGACACAAAGUAAGCAUGAAAGAACCUGCUUGGAUUGACAUGAAG
rnacentral:lncRNA from 1 species